AAAUUUAAUUUUUUAAAUAUAAAUAAUCAUUUAAAAUAAAAUACGAUAAAUAAAGAUAAAAAGUUUAAGUCUUUUAUAAAAUAAAACACAAAUAUAUGAAAAUAUGACAUUUACUAAAUAUUUGUCAAUUGAAAAAAAAAAAUAAACCCGCGCUUUGAAAGCGCGGAUCAAAAUCUAGUCUAUACUAUUAAAGCAAAAUACCUAAUAGAAUUUUCC
rnacentral:lncRNA from 1 species